CUGAUUUGCUUAAUUGCACCACAUGUGUUUUUCUUUGAAACAAACUUGCUUUGGCGGUGGGCCCAGCCUGCCGCCAGAGGUCUAAACUUGCAACCAAUUUUUUAUCAACUUGUCACACCAGAUUAUUACUAAUAGUCAAAACUUUCAACAACGGAUCUCUUGGUUCUCGCAUCGAUGAAGAACGCAGCGAAAUGCGAUACGUAAUAUGAAUUGCAGAUAUUCGUGAAUCAUCGAAUUUUUGAACGCACAUUGCGCCCUCUGGUAUUCCGGAGGGCAUGCCUGUUUGAGCGUCGUUUCUCCCUCAAACCGCUGGGUUUGGUGUUGAGCAAUACGACUUGGGUUUGCUUGAAAGACGGUAGUGGUAAGGCGGGAUCGCUUUGACAAUGGCUUAGGUCUAACCAAAAACAUUGCUUGCGGCGGUAACGUCUACCACGUAUAUCUUCAAACUUUGACCUCAAAUCAGGUAGGACUACCCGCU
rnacentral:misc_RNA from 1 species